ACGCCAAAAGAGGAGCCAGCGGCCGCACCUGUGGAAGCUGAGCCGGAGACAACAUCAGAUGCUCCGGCUGCGGAGGAAACCGAAGUUUCCAUAGCCGAAGCUCCGGCUGAAGUCGAUACCAAAGAAGUGGUAGAAGAAGAAGCGAAGGCUGCUGAGGAAGCGGAGAAAGCAACGGAGGAGGUAAAGGAUGACACCCCGGAGGUGCAGACAGAAACAGUUACAGAGGAGGCCAAAGUAGAGACCGAGGAACCCGCGGUGGAGGAGAAACCAGCUGAGGAGGAAAAGGGAGAUGAAAAAGCUGAUGAGAUUCCUGUUGAGAAAGUUGAAGAAUAGAGCGACCAAUACCAUACGUAAGGUGGCAAAUGCUUAAAGGAGCUUCUUUUUUCUAUAGUUGGCGGAGUCAUACUACUAUUAUUUAUGAUUACUAUGUAGGAUGUGGGAUGGUGAGGGCUUUCUUUUUCUUUAAUGGUUGUUUCUCUGCUUUGGGGUUUGAUAUUUAGUAUUGAACUUGCUUUUGGGUCCAGGGGUCAACAUGCCGAUGGAAGAAACUAUGGGUUUUCCAUUUUGAAGUGGUAUGGAUGUAUGUAUGUAUG
rnacentral:lncRNA from 1 species